GGUUGUAGCUCAGUGGUAAGACGCUUGCCUAGCAUGCAUGAAGUAUUGGGUUCAAUCCCCAGAAUCA
rnacentral:tRNA from 1 species